GAAUGUAUUUAAUGUACAAGCAGUAGCCAAGAAACGCAAUGACGAGCAGAAAGAAGAGAAACGUCAGUGCCCGAGCAGCCAGGCUCAGAAGUAGGCUGGAAACUGCCAUCCUGGAAAAUGUCCCGUGUUAAAGCUCAUCCAACGUCAGUGCCACAUCGUGCUAUCACUGGAGAGAGACCAGUCAGCUUAAAGUUAGGAGCUGGGACUCAAAAGAGUAUCACAGGCUGCUGGAGACACAUGAAAUAACAGAGACUCACCGGCAAUGAAGAAUGUCACGAAAUUGUCCAGCAUAAACUCCUCAUCUUCUCCAGUCAUGAUUUCCUCUGAAAC